CUGGGGAAAUGUUUUGCCAACGUACUCGCAAUAGUUCCCAUGGUUUCCUUUGCUCCCAGCGGUUGCGCGGGCUGGGUUUUUGGAGCAAAGGCAACGGAUACUGCUGAGGCUCCUGAGAAUGUCCCGUUUUCGAGGCUGCAGUAGCUCCGGUGUCCGGUUCUGCAGUGCCGAGAGGGAGGCCUCGGGCUCCGGGCGGGGGAAUGUGUUGCAGUUUGUCCAAGAGCCCCAAGCCCAGCAAAGCCGCCCGUUCCCCGCUGGGGCGCAACUCUCACUGGAACUCUUGUUCUCUGACUGGGGAAUGGAAUGGGCUCAGCCAAGGCUCCCGAAACCAGCCCUGCCGCUCCCAGUUGUGGUCGCAUUCUCAAGAGCGGCUGACUGCGCCGUGGACCAUCACUUUCGCUUCUGCCUGCUCUUGCGCCUAUUGCGGCAACUACUCACGCUCCUACGGGACGAGGAGAGGGAGGUGAAUCCGUGGCAGAGCUGGAAUGGGAGAGAACACAGCGUGCCACGAAGGGCCACACCGAGGUUGCUGUUGAAAAAUAGUAGUCUAGUCAUUCAAGUGAAAGGUCCAAGAAAGGAAGAAAGAAAAAUUUAUCAAAAAGAAAACACAAGAAGUAUUCUGAAGAUAGCGACAGUGACUCUGAUUCUGAAACAGACUCCAGUGAUGAAGACACAAAAAUGAGAGCAAAGACAGCUAAGAAAAAGGAAAAGAAAUGCAGAUGGCCAGAUUUUUUCCUUUAAUUUUUAUUAUGGAAAAGGUCAAAUGUGUAUAAACAUACAUAGAAUGGUAUAAUGAUCCCUCAGGCACGUAGCACCCAGCUUGAACAAUUAACAACUUGUGGGAAAUUGCCAUUGCCCCCUAAUUAAUUUGAAACCAAUCCCAGGUAUAAUGUCAUUUAUAAACAAUUCAGCAUGUUUCUCUAAAAGACU
ensembl:lncRNA NKAPP1 NFKB activating protein pseudogene 1